rnacentral:rRNA from 1 species
UACGUAGGUGGCAAGCGUUGUCCGGAAUUAUUGGGCGUAAAGCGUGCGCAGGCGGUCUCGCAAGUCCGAUGUGAAAUCCCCGGGCUCAACCUGGGAACUGCGUUGGAAACUACGAGGCUGGAGUACGGCAGAGGGGGGUGGAAUUCCACGUGUAGCAGUGAAAUGCGCAGAUAUCAGGAGGAACACCGGUGGCGAAGGCGGGUCUCUGGGCCGUAACUGACGCUGAGGAGCGAAAGCGUGGGGAGCGAACAGG